rnacentral:tRNA from 1 species
GUGUUGGUCGUACAGUGGUGAGCAUAGCUGCCUUCCAAGCAGUUGACCUGGGUUCGAUUCCUGGCCAACGCA